GCCUGGGUGGCUCAGUUGGUUGAGCAUCCGACUUCAACUCAGGUCAUGAUCUCACCAUCUGUGAGUUCAAGUCCUGCAUCGGGCU
rnacentral:tRNA from 1 species